rnacentral:rRNA from 1 species
CCUACGGGGGGCAGCAGUGGGGAAUAUUGCGCAAUGGGCGAAAGCCUGACGCAGCGACGCCGCGUGAGGGAUGAAGGUCUUCGGAUCGUAAACCUCUGUCAGCAGGGAAGAACGGUCACUGUGCUAAUCAGCAGUGAAUUGACGGUACCUGCAAAGGAAGCACCGGCUAACUCCGUGCCAGCAGCCGCGGUAAUACGGAGGGUGCGAGCGUUAAUCGGAAUUACUGGGCGUAAAGCGACAGUAGGCGGUAUGUCAAGUCAAGGGUGAAAUCCCCGCGCUCAACGUGGGAACUGCCUUUGAAACUGGCAAACUGGAGUGUAGUAGAGGAUAGUGGAAUGCCAGGUGUAGGGGUGAAUUCCGUAGAUAUCUGGAGGAACAUCAGUGGCGAAGGCGACUAUCUGGCACAUAACUGACGCUGAGGAGCGAAAGCGUGGGUAGCAAACAGGAUUAGAUACCCUUGUAGUC